GGGAUAAUGUUUCAAAUUUUAUUGACUAAUUUGCAUUAAACGCUUGGCUAAGCUCACUUAGAAGACCUUAGUUCAUACGGGAAUGUCUUGUAAAAUAAAUAUUAAUAAUGGAGUAAUAAUCAGUUUAGAAGGUUCAUAAAUCCAUAUAGAUCCAAAACCAAUGUUCAUGUGUGCCGUAAGGUCACUAAUAAUGCGCUAGUCACGACCCUUACAGGAAAUCUUUAAGAAUAUCGCUUGUCCAUGUGUGCCUCUCACCAUUGUCCUUCCCCCCAAAACAAGAAACAACCUUCUGUUCUUGAUGAAUUCCCCAACACCCUAGUUCCAGUGCCUUAAGCCCUAACAUAUCCACACUGCAGUAUCUUUCGCUCCACACAUCAUAACAUGUCCUAUCCACAAACCAGUCACGUAAAUAACUCAUAAAGGUCCAAAUUGCUACAAUUAGGGUUCCAUUCUAUUGGCGGCCCUGUACUGUCCCAAACUUCAGGGCGGUUCUCAUGCCCUUGGCUCUCUGUUAUUUACUAGUAGAAUAUGCUUCCACAUCACUAUUUAUAAUUGAAUAAUGUUAGGAUCCCAAUAUUAAAUCUUAACUAAUGUAACAUUCAUUCAUUAGAAGGUAGAAUAAAAUAAUAAAUAAAUUACAUUCAAUUGAAUGAUAGAAUAGGGUAAUGAGUAAGUUUACAUUCAUCAUUUGAUGAAUAAGUGAUAUAUAGUACCAAAACUCAAUAUUUGAGAUUUGUAGCAUCCAUUAUUAUACUCAAUUUAUGAUCCACAAGUCAAAACCAGUCGAAGUUUUAAUAUAAGAUUUUCGGACCAGGCCAGAUUAAAGUGAAAAUCAUCCAGCCAAUCCACAUAGGAUACGUGGCAAAGUGAAAAUCCCAUGACAACACCUAAAAAAAUAUAACCGAGUAUUCAUAUAUACCAAAUUGGAUGGAAUGAUUCAAGUUUGGUCCAGUUCGAUUCAGUUUUCCGAUUCAUUGUACCCUCAAUAAUUUCAAGUAUUUUCCCUUUAAAUUGAAAUUGGAACGCCACGAAAACACAUGUUAUUGAUAAGUAUGGUGGUGUCAUUAUCAGUCAACAAGCAAUUAAGCACCAAAGAGAUACAUAUAUCUCUAUAGCUGUAUACAACUGUACAUAUAAACAGCUGAGAGUACAAUAAUGAUAAGAUUAAUCUAGAUGAUUGACGGCCACUGGUUUAUCCAUUGUUGGAUUCUAUUUGGUGGAUGAUUAUCCCAAUAAGGAUAUACCGAAAGCCAAACUCAUAAGUGCUUUUCCUCUAGUGAUUAUUUUGCUAAAUGAGGUGUACUUUAGACUUUAGAGCAUGAUUUGUUAAGGUUUUGGUAGUGCCGCCAGUUAAGCACUGGUUUGUCAUUUUCAAAUAUUCCAAAAUUAUCACCAAGAAGUGCCAACACUUGAGUUGAGCAUAUGAAUUGACUUUAAUUUAUAUUGUCACUCCAACUCUUAAUGGUUCCACAACCUAUCGUUAACCAUUUUGUAGGGCCCUUUUUUGCCCUUUCUUUCUUUCAUGCAAAUGGACUUCCUUGAUAUGCAAUACUUUUAAAAAAUAAAUAAAUAAAUAAUGAAACUUAAUCUCAUUUCGUUAUAUAUAAUAUAUCGCACAACAAAUAAUGAUCAUCAAACUGAUUUUCUAUAUAUCUUUGAUUAUCUCCAACAUACACAGUUAAAUUCAUAUGUUGUUUGCAUGUAUGAAUUAGACUUAUAAAUUUUUAUAUCACGUGAUAGGGAUACGUUGAGAGAAUAGUUUUUGAAGGGGUUGCAAUAUACCUUCACACGUAUUUUUGAUUUGUGGAGAACUUAUGAUGCUUGCUGAUUUUGAAUCCGCUGAGGUGGGUACUUGAAAAAGGCACUCCAAUACCUAAGUUAGUGUUUGAUUAAAAUUUAAGGGAAGAAGAACAAUGAAUAAGACUAAGUUUUUUCUCUUUUUUUUUUUUGGAUAAAUCCCAUUCUUUUGGGCCAAGGGUCCCUAUUUAUAAAUGAUGGGUGACAUGAGUUUAGAGUUUUGCGUUGGGCUCUCUCCCUAAUGACAAGUGUCUCCCACCAUUAUUACACAUGUGGAUGUGAAUUUGAUGGUAGGGAAAUAAAUAUAUUUAUUCCGUACCUAUGUCAUUUAUUCCAUGCGUAUAUGCUUUCUUAUUCUUAUGAUUUUGGGCGUGGCCCCCUCGGACCCUGGAAUUCGGAACUAGAAUGAAUUUUCUUCUUCUAGUUAUUUUCGUAAGUUCCUAUUUUAUCCCGAAUAUUACUCCACCGGAUUAGAUUCUAUAUUAUUUAUUUAUUUAUUUUUCUGGAAUAGCUUCUUUCUUUCUUUUUUGUAUGGACAUGUGGCAUAAUUUGAUGCCUCUAAAGCAUGGCACAUACAGUUUUCAAGUGCAUUAUUUAGGUUUAGACAAACCUAAACUCUUGAGUUAGUUUUUAAGCUUUUGGUUAGGCUUAUAAAUUUCUACAUAUAGUGCCAUGCAUAAGUGAGGUCACACUACAUUUCAUAUGACAUUGACCCAUCUAAAUGUGAUAGAAGGUGUAAGGGAAAAAUUCCAUAUGGAAUGGGAAUAAUUCCUAAGCUAAUGAGGGGGCCCUAAAUUAUGAGCUAAUUGAUUUUUAGAUAUUAUGCACUAGGCCCACGAUUUUCCCUAAUAGCAAAUUAACGUGGGUUUUUGGGUUGAAGAAAGAAGAGAUCUCAAAAGUAGAAGUUGAAAGACAAAUAUUCAAUCAGUUAAAAACGAGGAUAAUAACACUACCAAUAAAAAUGUACACAAACAAAAACAAAAUUAAGUUAUAAGGAAAUUUAGUGGCAGUAAAAAAAGCAGAGAUAUAUGUAUUAAAUGAAUCUAGCUAAAAACAAAAGUUAAUUUUGUUAUUACAAUAAAAUCUCUAUAAAUUAAUAAUGUCCAGAUCCUACAAAAUCUAUUAAUUUAAAGAGGUAUCAAUUAAUUGAUAAAUUAAUAAUUUAUUAAUUUAAAAAUUUGAUAUACAAUUCAGUGAAUUUUAUUCAACUAAUAACUUAUUGUGUUUUACCAAUCUAAUCAAUUAAACUUGAAUUAAUUCACUAAAUAAAAUUUUUGCAAUUUCAAAUUCAACCCCAUAACUUCUAGGAAACAUAAGAAAAUUAGAGAU
rnacentral:lncRNA from 1 species